GUCUGUUACCAGGGUUAAGGAAUAGGUCUGUUACCAGGGUUAAAUAGGUAUUUAAGGAUAGGUCUGUUACCAGGGUUAGGGAUAGGAUUGUUACCAGGGUUAAGGAAUAGGUAUUUAAGGAUAGGUCUGUUACCAGGGUUAGGGAUAGGAUUUUUACCAGGGUUAAGGAAUAGGUCUUUAAGGAUAGGUCUGUUGACAGGGUUAGGGAUAGGUCUGUUGCCGGGGUUAAGGAAUGGGUCUUUAUUGAUAGGUCUGUUACCAGGGUAGGGGAUAGGAUUGUUACCAAGGUUAAUAACAUGAUCCCUCACUGACCCUAGAGGUUCAAUGGUGAUGGAAGUCAUUACUAACAUGAUCCCUCACUGACCCUAGAGGUACAAUGGUGAUGGAAGUCAUUACUAACAUGAUCCCUCACUGACCCUAGAGGUUCAAUGGUGAUGGAAGUCAUUACUAACAUGAUCCCUCACUGACCCUAGAGGUUCCAUGGUGAUAAGUCAUUACUAACAUGAUCCCUCACUGACCCUAGAGGUUCCAUGGUG
ensembl:lncRNA